rnacentral:sRNA from 1 species
UACCAGAUAUAGACUCAGUGUCGGUAGA